UCCUCUCAGUUUUAUGUUCUUUUUCUCCCUUUCCCCCACUGCUACAAACCCUCACAAGUUAUAAUGAAGAACCUGGGCCAAGGUGUAAGGCUCUAAUGUUCCCUCCAAAUUAGAGCCUGGGCCAAGGUGUAAAGCUCUAAUGUUCCCUCCAAAUCAGGUACUUCCUCUUUAUUUUCACUAUAAAUUCAAACUAUCUGUUUGAUUCCGAUUUUGCUAUCUCUGUUUGUAUUUUGUAAUUUCUCAUACAAAUUAUGAUGAAGAGCUUGGGCCAAGGUGUAAGGCUCUAAUGUUCCCUCCAAAUCAGUAAGAAUUAGAAAAACAAAUUCAUCAACCUCGACGUUCACUAUCUCAGGCAAUAUAUAUUGAAUAAAUUAUUACUGUAAAUGGUUACUUAUGAUGGUUUGUUUGAUUGUGGUAUUGUUAAUCAUCAUUUUUUCUAAAUUC